rnacentral:rRNA from 1 species
AGAGUUUGAUCCUGGCUCAGAACGAACGCUGGCGGCAUGCCUAACACAUGCAAGUCGAACGAAGGCUUCGGCCUUAGUGGCGCACGGGUGCGUAACGCGUGGGAAUCUGCCCUUGGGUUCGGAAUAACAGUUAGAAAUGACUGCUAAUACCGGAUGAUGUCGUAAGACCAAAGAUUUAUCGCCCAGGGAUGAGCCCGCGUAAGAUUAGGUAGUUGGUGGGGUAAAGGCCUACCAAGCCGACGAUCUUUAGCUGGUCUGAGAGGAUGAUCAGCCACACUGGGACUGAGACACGGCCCAGACUCCUACGGGAGGCAGCAGUGGGGAAUAUUGGACAAUGGGCGAAAGCCUGAUCCAGCAAUGCCGCGUGAGUGAUGAAGGCCUUAGGGUUGUAAAGCUCUUUUACCAGGGAUGAUAAUGACAGUACCUGGAGAAUAAGCUCCGGCUAACUCCGUG